rnacentral:rRNA from 1 species
AGCGAAGGCGGGAGGCUUAUACAUGCAAGUCGAGGGGCAGCGGGAGUAGCAAUACUUGCCGGCGACCGGCGCACGGGUGCGUAACACGUAUACAAUCUGCCUCUAACUGGGGGAUAGCCCGGAGAAAUCCGGAUUAAUACCCCAUAACAGUGGAAUCGGCAUCGGUUUCACUUAAAAGCUCCGGCGGUUAGAGAUGAGUAUGCGGCUGAUUAGUUUGUUGGUGAGGUAACGGCUCACCAAGGCUACGAUCAGUAGGGGAUCUGAGAGGACUACCCCCCACACUGGUACUGAGACACGGACCAGACUCCUACGGGAGGCAGCAGUAAGGAAUAUUGGACAAUGCCCGCAAGGGUGAUCCAGCCAUGCCGCGUGCAGGAAGAAGGCCCUAUGGGUCGUAAACUGCUUUUGAACAAGAGAAAACCCUCCUACGUGUAGGAGGCUGAUAGUAUUGUUAGAAUAAGCAUCGGCUAACUUCGUGCCAGCAGCCGCGGUAAGACGAAGGAUGCAAGCGUUAUCCGGAUUCAUUGGGUUUAAAGGGUGCGUAGGCGGCCUGAUAAGUCAGUGGUGAAAUCUCCUCGCUUAACGAGGAAACUGCCAUUGAUACUGUUGGGCUUGAGUACAGAUGCUGUGGGCGGAAUAUGACAUGUAGUGGUGAAAUACAUAGAGAUGUCAUAGAACACCGAUUGCGAAGGCAGCUCACAAAACUGUAACUGACGCUGAGGCACGAAAGUGCGGGGAUCAAACAGGAUUAGAUACCCUGGUAGUCCGCACUGUAAACGAUGAUUACUCGCUGCUAGAGGGCAACUUUUAGUGGCUUAGCGAAAGCGAUAAGUAAUCCACCUGGGGAGUACGCCGGCAACGGUGAAACUCAAAGGAAUUGACGG